GCACACUACAGUGGACUACAGUUGUGUGAACAUAACUUUUAUAUGCACUGGGAAACAAAAAAUUUGUGUGACUCCCUUUGUUGUGAUAUAUGCUUUAUAGUGGCGAUCUGGAACUAGCCCCACAGUAUCUCUGAGGUAUGCCUGUAUGUCUUUGUGGGGUAAUGACCUGGAAGUGAUAGAGUUAGGAAAGAAGGAUGAAAACCCAGACCGUGUGGGAGGAGGAGAGGAAUCCAGAAUGUUGGGCAUGUAGAGUGGAGGCCGGUGGGUGCCAGGCAAGCAUCGAAAACUCCUGAAGCACUUAACUGUGCGCCACACCCUCGGCUGGGCCCUGUGCACCAUCUUAUUCAAUCCUUAUGAGAUGAGGCCUUUUUUCAUAGUUUUCAAAAUCAUUCCAUUAUAUGGGUUAUUCUUGUAAGCUACAUCAUAUCCUUUAUGUAAUGAGGCCAGGUAUACAUCUAUGCACACCUAAAACUUGAGGGUGAUUUUUUGCACCAAUAAUGAAAAUGAAGUUUAGCAAAACUUGCCAAGGUCAUCAACUAGUCAGAAAUAGAAUUCAAACUCAGAAACUGGGGUGGGAGGGUCAUUUUUUACUUCUUCCCUUCUCUUUCCUAUUUCUAGUCAAUCUUCAAGAAGUAUCAAGUCCGUCCAGGCGCGGUGGCUUACACCUGUAAUCCCAGACUUUGGGAGGCCGAGGCAGCCGGAUCAUGAGGUUUGGUGCCUGGAAUGCUGACCUAGAUCUGGAAACUAGCCCAGAUGAAAACAAGAAUGAUGAGGCCACAGUGUCCAUGAAAGUAGGGUGAGGCAGGGUGUCCAGUGGAGCCAGAGGGAGUGCCAAGAGGGAGGUCCUUGGAACACGGAGGAUCCAGAAGGCCCAGGAGUAGAAAGCAGUGUUGGCGUUUGCCACAGCUGAGCAGCCUUAACUGACACCUCCUUGGCACCAGCACACAAACAAUGGCACAUGGCCUGACGUCUUCCAGGAUGCCCUAGGCCCGUGCCCUUCACCUGUUCUGCAGCUGUAAGACUGUGGUGUUUGCCCUCCUUGAUUCUUCCAGGUACUGCCCCACCUUGUUCUUCUCCCCAUUCUUUGAGUGCUGAGAUUGGCCAGUCCCGUGCUGAGAUGAGGGAGCUGGAGGAGGGGAGACUGGCUCUCACUCCUCAUUGCUGCCCAUUGGGAUGGGAUGAACUUCACAGCUCUGGUUUCCUCUGUUCUUCUCUCAGCUGCAGGUGAUUUAAGCUUGUUGGAUUUAUAUAACAUUGGGAAAUGGUAAACUGUGUAAAUUUGCUAUGUUUUCCAGGGACAGUUAUUUAUGGAAGGGCAUUUUUAACUCGAGUGCUAGAAGUGUUAAAUCAUUAUAAUAAAUUCAUGCUAUUCAGACUU